AUAGGAUGAGACACGGGAGAACUCAAAUAUUCAAAAAAACAAAACAAAAUUUAUGUGCUCUCUACAAUUCAAUUCAGUAAGAUGUUUCUAUUUACUAUCUUUGAUCUCAGCAGAUGUAUUAUAGCUUGCAGGAAGGUCACAGAUUUUACUUCUUGGAUUAUAUCAGUUCCUUGAUUUUGAAUGUAUUUACCAUGGCUUCUACCAGAUCAAUGUCCGGAACAACUAAGAAACCAGAUACUAAGAUUGCUGUGAAUGAUAAACAGGAAGCCUCUACGACAGCAAGGAACAAAGCAAAGUUCAGAAGAAUUAAAUAAAUUGCCAAGUCCGGAACAACUAAAAAAGUGGCUCAUAAGGGAUGCACAACAGCUGUCUGGUCAUGAUUGACGAUGCUUAUUGCUUUUUCAUGAAGGACGCCAAGGCAAAAUAUUAUGAGAAGAAUGCAAAAUAUUAUGAGAAGCAUCCACGAGGACGAAUAAUGCCAGAGGAGCUCCGAGGUGUUAUCAUGCAGAAAUGGAGGGAUAUGAGUGAUGCGGACAAAGCUCCGUAUGUUGAAUGUGCUGAGGAAUUGAGGGCUCAAGGACUUACCUAUCUGACUGCUGUGAAUGACGAACAGGAAGUCUAUUACAAAGCAAAGUUCGGAACAACUAAAAAAAUUGCCAAGUCCGGAAAAACUAAAAAAGUGGCUGAUAAGGUAUGCACAACAGCUGUCUGGUCAGUGAUUGAUGAUGCUUAUUGCCUUUUCAUGAAGGACUCUAAGGCAAAAUAUUGUGAGAAGCAGUCACAACGCGAAAUAAUGUCAGAGGAUCUCGGAGAAGCUAUCAUGCAGGAAUGGAUGGAUAUGAGUGAUGCGGACAAAGCUCCGUAUGUUGAACGUGCUGAGGAAUUGAGGGCUCAAGGACUUACCUAUCUGAUUUAGAAGUACUGCUUGUUGUCACUGAUUUAAAAGUGCAGGAAAGGAUGAGAGAGAAACGAAUGUGCAAGACAGGAUAUCAUAGUUAUCUGCUUUCCUAAAAAAAACUCAACCAAAGAUUCUCAGUUCCUCGUCACGUGAGAAUGCAGUUCUUGUUGCUACAAUUCUAUGGGGAAUAUGGAAUAUGCGUAAUAAGAAAGUGUGGGAGAACAACUGUGUCACACCGAGUUUAGCGAUGGAUUGGAGUAAGAAGCAGGUUAGUGAGUGGAGAGAAGCGCAAAGGAAGAGAUGUGGCUCUCAGACAGUAGCUCAUGAACGGGAUGUGACCGCUGAUUUGAAAUGGGUUUUCAGCUGAGGGUGAGUUAAAGCUGAACGUAGACGCAUCGGUCAUGGAGGGCUCUACAUCUUUCUCUAUUGGGAUGGUUCUCAGAAAUCACAACGGGCAAUUUGUGGAAGGCAGAAACUUCAGAGGUGCUGGGCAUGCAACUGUACUUGAGGCUGAAACUCGAGGACUGGUUGAAAUUUUGUACUGGGCUAGAAAUAUACCGGGGAAGAAAGUCACUGUUGAGAGUGACUCAUUGCUCGCUGUUAAUGCCAUCCGCAGGAAGGUGAGGUAUCAUCUGGAGGUUGGUUACAAUAUUGAGCGUUGCCAGGCUAUUCUUGAGGACAACAGGAACAUCUCUCUGUUUUAUUAGAAGGCAAGCGAACAAGGCGGUCCAUCUGAUGGCUCGUGUGCCUUGUUCUCUAGAUUGCUUCAAUAUUUUUUGGUCUCCUCCUAGCACUUAGUUGGAGACUAUUGAGUUGG